AGGGGUGUAGUUAAUAAUAACAUUUGGGUUGCAUUCAAAAAGUGCUUAAAGCCACUCUUA
rnacentral:tRNA from 1 species